UCUCCUUAGCUGGGGACGGGGGGAGGGUCCCCCGAAGGGCAUUCAGGGAACAGAGACAGGUAGUGAGAUCAUGGGAGAUGCAACUGGGAAACUAGAGGGGUUUCAGCUCAGAGGCCACCCUAAAGGGUCUGGGCUGCGCUCUGGGGACAGUGGGUGAGCGCCCUCACUUGCAGUUUUAAAAGCACACUCUUGCUUCUCUCCCUGAGAAGAACUCAUAAAUCACCCAUUUGCUGAAUCAGUGAUUUGACUUUUGUGGGCCUCCUGUGCACCAGGCAGUGGCUAGACAAGAGAGGUGCCCAGGUGAGACAUGGCCCUGUGUGGCCCAGGAGCCGCUUCCCCACCUGAGCAAUGGAACUGGCAGCAGCCGACUGUCCUGGCAGUGCUGCACAUACAUGCCUUUAUCUGCAGGCCACCUCCUCCUGGCGUCUCCUCAGCUUUCCAAUUCUUGUUCUUGACUUCAGAAAGAACUUUGGUGAGGUGAUGGUAGGUUUUUAUGUUCUGAGGGUAUUGCUGAGGUGGGGGUAAGGGGUUGGGGCCAGAACCCCUUGGCCUCCAGUGGAAGGUUGAUUUGUCCCGUGUGGCACCCUGAGUUUCCCCAGAUGAGCAGCGUGGCUGUGGCUGACAACUUAGGGAAAGAAGGUAUGGCUCGGUUUUGCCCAGACCAACCCCCCCGAUGGCCUGAGCUGUGCCAGCCUCCAGGGCCACGACGGCUUCAGGACAAGGCCUUGAAGGAGGAGGGUGGAUGGUGAAGAUAAGCCAGUGGGGGAGGGUGGCCUUGGCAUGUCGUAUCGCCCUACUACAGUGUUCCCAAAUGACACUUGGAGGAGGCUUUAGGAAAGGGGCAAGCUUCCCGUCUGAAAUGACACUAGCUUUGACAGGAGUCUGUGCUGCUUGGUCAUUGUGCCAUCUGCUGGCCAGGUUGUCCUACUGCACUUUAAAAAAAAUUGCAUAGGUUUACAGUGUUGUAUUAGCUUCUGCUGUACCACAAGGUGAUUCUGUUUUAUGUGUAUAUAUUUUUUCAGAUUCUUUUCCAUUAUAGAUUACUACAAAUAUUUAGUAGAGUUCCUUGUGCUGUAUAGCAGAACCUUGUUGUUUAUUUUAUACAUAUUAGUGUGUAUAUGCUAAUCCCAAACCCCUAAUUUACUCCUCUUCCCCUCUUUCCCCUUUGGUAACCAUAAGUUUGUUUUCCAUGUCUGUGAGUCUGUUUCUGUUUUUUGGUUUUGAGGUUUUUUGUUUUUUUUUGUUUUUUGUUUUUUGUUUUUGCUUUUUAUGGCCACACCCAUGGCAUAUGGAAGUUCCCAGAGGGGUGGAAUUGGAGCUGCAGCUGCCCACCUACACCACAGCCACAACAAUGUGGUAUCCGAGCUGUGUCUGUGACCUACACCGCAGCUCAUGGCAACGCCAGAUCCUUAACCCACUGAGCAAGGCCAGGGAUUGAACCCUCACCCUAAUGGAUACGAUUCAGGUUCCCUGCUGAGCCACAACGGGAUGUCCCUGUUUCUGUUUUGUAAAUAAGUUCAUUUGUACCAUGUUUUAAAAUUCCACAUGUGAUAUGAUAUUUGUCUUUCUCUCUUUGACUUACUCAUAUGAUAAUCUCUAGAUCCAUCCAUGCUUCCACAAAUGGCAUUUCACUCUUUUUUAUGGCUGAGUAAUAUUCCAUUCUAUGUAUGUACCACAUCUUCUUUGUCUGUUCAUCUGUUGAUAGAUACUUAGGUUGCUUCCAUGUCUUGGCUAUUGUAAAUAAUGCCACAGUGAACAUAAGGGUGGAUAUAUCUUUUCAAAUUAUUUCCAUUUGUGUGUGUGUGUGUGUGUGUGUGUGUGUGUGUGUGUGGUGUGUGUACCCUGUUCCCCCAGCUAGACCGGAAUCCCUCUGUGGGUAAGGACCCCACCCAGGUCACCUCUGUACUGUCCCCAGGGCCUGCCUCCGAGUACCAGGAGUACCAGGUUCUGACUGAUGAUGGCAAUGAACUGUCCAUCUCGAGUCACCUCGCACUCAUCAGCUGUUCACCAUGACAUGGUGCUGUGCCACUCUGGCCUUGGCAGAUGGAAGAGACAUGCCCGCCCCGGAGUCAACCUGUGCAGUUUGGGUGAGGAGGCAGGUAUGUCAGUGAUCUCAGUGGAGGCGGGACCAGAGGCAGAACUGUCUGAGGUGCUGGGAGGCCUCGGGAGAGUCCGGGAGGCAUCCCCCUGGGAGACAGGAAGGCUCCAGAGAGAGGCUGGCUCUGAGCUGUGCGCUAAAGACUGGGCAGGGCUUGGAAGGUGGCAGUACAGGGUCCACUCCCAAGAAGCCAGCUUUUGGUUGGGGGCGGGGGUGGGGGGGGGACAGGAGAUCAGAGGCAAUAAGGAGCAACAGCCCAGGCAGAGGGCGGGGCGCAAAGGUGCUGCCCCCAUCUUAUCUCCUUUGAUCCUUGAAUCGGCUUGGCGAGACAGAUGCUGUUACAUCCACAGGACACUUGAGGAAGCCGAGAGCACAGAGGCUAAGGGCUGAGCUCUCCCACUUGGCUCGGGGAGAGUUGCGAUUCAAACACAGGUUCAGCCAACCCAGAGUCCCAGUGGCCACCAAGCCGGCUGGGAACACAGGACAGGCGCUCUGAGCCUGGUGCCCAAGCUGUCGGCUGCUGCCCUGAGUCUCGCUCCGAAGUGCAGGGCUCGCCCUGGGCCUUGCAUGUAUUCUUGGCCAAGUCCAUUUUCUACACAUCUCGUUUCCCACCUCCAAGGUGAGGGAGCUUUGCUUCGCUUCGCUGCUUCGACCACUUCCCCUCCUUCCAGCUCCAGUACAGGUGACUCAGGAAUUCCGAAUCGUAUUGUGAGCAGUUCUGCACGUUCCUUCAGGUUGCAGAGGGAUUGUCGGGCUUGAAUCAAGACUGUGCACUUCAUAGGAUAUGCUUUCUGACGGCAGCCAAAGCAGCAGCUCCAUUCCCUCGCCCGGGGCUGGUGCAGGGAGAGGCUGAGUUGGGACACCGGGCGCCGGCUGUGCAGCACGGCUGUCCAAAGGCGCCGUCCUUAAACUUCACCCCUGGUGCUGCAGUGGAGCACUGCCAAAUCCAGCCUUUCUCUUUAGCCCCACACUUGAGGGUCCCGCUGCCAGAUUCUCCAGAGUGGCCAGGGUGCCAGAGCUUUCAUCAAGUCUGUUGCUUGCUUCUGCGUGUAGUCCAGAGCCAUGUGGCUUGGCAAACUGCGUGCAUCUUACUUUGCUACCCGCGCUCUCCACAUACAUCUUCCUGCUAGGCUAGAGCAGGGCUUGGACACAGGUCGGUGGGGACACGGGUCGGUGAGGAGUGAAAGUGUCAUCUGCCAGCACAGCAGAUCUGCACUUGCUUUCCUCCUUUUUCUUUCAGGAGGAAAGAAAGGCUGUUUGAAAAUGACUGUUUCUCAUAUCAAAUUAAUCUCAAAGAAGUGCUGUCACUUUCUUCCUGAAACAUCAACACGACGGCAGUUUUAAAUUGCUUGCCAGUUAGGGGGAGAGCGGGUGCCUUGCAGCUGUCUGCGGGGCGGUGGGCAGGGCUCUGUGCGUCGUGUCUGCUGCAGGAAAGGCAAAAGGCUAACUUCCCUACAAAGCUGCGUGCUUCACGGCAUCUUGCCCGCGGGUCCCUGGGUUCCAGUUCAGGAGAAAUGUCUCUCUAGAUCUUUUUCCUCAUUCUAGAGUCAUACUGGAUUCUCCCCAGGCUCCUGGGAAGGCAUUCGUUUCAGAGAUGAGGCAGCUGACCUUCAGAGAGGGGGCGUGAUUUACCUCAGCUUGCACAGCAAGUGAUGGAGCCAGGACUCAACCAGUCCCUUUGACUCCUACACUAGUCAUCUGCUCUCUGUCCCCAUAGAGGGUUGUGGGGGGUGGGGGGGGCGGAUUUGGGAUCUGGAAAGCUCUUUCAAGCUCAGAAAGCAUUGGAUGCUGGGGCUGUACCGUUGGGGAGUUCAGUCUUGACCCAUUCAAAAGGCUGUCUUUCUCAGCCUUCUUUUUGGUUUCUGGAUUGCUCCGUUCAAUUCCCUGCCUGCCCGGCACGCUUCUUCUCUCCUUAGGGCUGGGGAGGCCUUCUCCCCGGACUGCUUGCUCCACGCCCCACCUCAGUGGCCACUGAGCCUCAUGCUGGAUUUCGUACCUCAGCCGCCGAGGAAAGCCAGCUCUAUAGUUUGGGUCCUUGUGUUGUGUCCCUGCUCAGGCUGUCUUUCCAUUCCUAGGUCACAUCUCAUGCUGGCCACUCAUUCCCAAGUACUUUUGCACCCUGGUUGUCUGGAAUUUGUCCUCAUUGCCUUAUCCUUGCUUCCAAUGACACGCCUCCUCCCUUUGGCCUUGCUCUCUGGGUCCCAAGCCUUUUCUCAGUGUCUGGUUUCCCUUCUGUAAUUCUCUGGAUCUGACAGAGAUGCACAGUGAAGCUAAUGAAAUUUAAGAUUACGCUUCCGGGUCACUGGCAUGUACAGGCCUGGAAGGGGCCCGAGCGUUAUCGUAUAUGCUAGUCGUGUGGUUGUUUCCACUCUGCUGUCUCUGCCACCCUUGCUCUUGUGUUGGGUGCCAAUAGGAUGGUCGUGGGCGUAUUGGGAAUCUGGCUAAGGGGACAUUCAAUUGGAUACACUUGGUUUGGAGUUGGAGAGACAUCUAAGGAGGGAGCUCCCAACCAAUUCCGUGCAUGUUCAAGAUACAGCUGUAGCAGUCAUGUAUCGCAAUUGCUUCCAGGAAUGCUUCUGCUUACUGUGCCAGUGCACACAGCAGUGGGACCAGAGGUGUGAGGCUGGAGGGUAUGUUGUGAGAUCACUGUGCUUUGCAGCACUAGGGACUAGAAUGUGUUGACAGUGGAGGAGCAUCAAGGUUCAGAAUAUAUGGAGUUCCCUGGUGUGGCUCAGCCAGUUAAGGAUCCGGCAUUGUCAGCACUGUGGUUCGAGUCGCUGCUGUGGUGCGGGUUUGAUCCCUGGCCUGGGGAACUUCUGCAUGCCAUGGGAGCAGCCAAAGAUAAAGUGUUUAGGCCUGGAAAUGGGCACACUUUUUCUUUGCUUAGGUCUUUAGAGCAGGGUUUUGCGUCAACCUGGCUAGGAGUUAGAUUGCAUUUGAGGUUCUUGUUUCUGUGUCUACUGUCAGUGCAGGGCAGGCUUCAAAUCCCUAUAGUGACUCGUCACGCGUAGCCUGAGAGUUGGUUUUCCAGAGCAACAUCUUUUCAACACUGAGCUUUCAGUCUUCUCUUUGUUCUGUGCCUUGACGGUUUCUGUGCUGCUCCUGUUCCUCUUCUAUCCCUUUGCCAGUACCCUUCUGCCAUCACUAGUUCCUUGAUUGUGUUUGCUCAGGGAUGUGGAGAAUUGGGAGGGAGGCAUUUUCUGUUGUUCUGCUUAAGCCUCAGUCUUAGGCACUAAGUCCAAGAUAUGGCCUGAAGGGUAUGGCCUUGCAAGUCUUUUGCUUCUGGUGCAGUUCUGGGGCCCAACACAUAUUUCUGCCCUUCCCCCAGGAGUAGGUUUUUUUUUUUCCCCCACUCUUUCCUUCUUCCAGCUGCAGUGAAUUUCUACCAGUGCCCUAGAGGUGACAGAGUUUGUUGUCCUUUCCCUACUGAGAAAGGCACUUUCCUCCUAGGGAGGUAGGAGAACACAUGGGUUAGAGAUUCUUAGCCCUCCUGCCUGGCCAGUAUUCCCCUCUCCAGGGUCUGCAACUCAGUGGGCCUUUGUUAGGGCUCUUUCUGAUCUUUUCUGAAAGCACCCAGUAGGAUUCAUGGAGAAAAAGCCUGCCAUAGAGUGCGAAUGCCCCCGUCCCUGAGACCCUCAGAGGCCGAAUACUGUCCGACCAGCCCAUAGUCUACCUUCACCAAUUCAUCAGUGUUUCUAGCUGAACUCUUCUUCCCAGAUUUUGGUAAGCUUAUCCCAGAUAAGUGAGGACUCACAUCUCCUCUCUUCCUGCAGGGAUGCUAUCUCAGAUUUGGGGCAAGGUUGCUGCUCUGAAAACUCACCUCUCCAAUACAAUAAAAAUAAUUCAUGAGGAGUUCCUGUUGUGGCUCAGCAGGUUAAGAAUCCAGCAUAGUCUCUGUGAGGAUGCAGAAUCCCUGGCCUCGCUCAGUGGGUUAAGAAUCUAGCAUUGGAGUUCCCGUCGUGGCGCAGUGGUUAACGAAUCCGACUAGGAACCAUGAGGUUGCGGGUUCGGUCCCAGCCCUUGCUCAGUGGGUUGACGAUCUGGCGUUGCCGUGAGCUGUGGUGUAGGUUGCAGACGCGGCUCGGAUCCCGCAUUGCUGUGGCUCUGGCGUAGGCCGGGGGCUAUAGAUCCGAUUCAACCCCUAGCCUGGGAACCUCCAUAUGCCGUGGGAGCGGCCUAAGAAAUAGCAGCAACAACAACAAC
ensembl:lncRNA